rnacentral:misc_RNA from 1 species
GACGCCUUGUUGGCCGGUGGGCGCCGAACGCAGCAAGCACUACUCGGUCAACAUUAUUACGCCCUCCGCGCACGUUAGCCACAAACCCCCUUUAGCGGUGGCCUCCUCUCUCUCUCUCUCUAGAUCUCCCCCCCUCCCUUUUAACCUAAACAUUUUUUUCAUUAUGCCUCCGUUUUCCUCCGCCGCCACCAACCACCACCACAGCCACAACCCCUUUUCCUUCUUCUCUUUUUCUAUUAUAAAUCUGAACCGGUUAACUAAUUCUGGGUGUUUACUGAUUUUGAGAGAUUCGAUAUUAUUCUGUAAUACCCACAACAAUGGCGACUUUUUCUCCAUCAACUCG